rnacentral:misc_RNA from 1 species
GGGUCGAUGAAGAACGCAGCCAGCUGCGUGAAUUAAUGUGAAUUGCAGGACACAUUGAACAUCGAUAUCUUGAACGCAUAUUGCAGCCUCGGGCAUUCCCGAGGCUACGCCUGUCUCAGGGUCGGUUCAAAGUCAAUCGCAGUGCUGCUGUCGUCGCAAAUAGCGCACGGCCUGCGCAUUGGGCGUCGCAGUCGAACCUUACGGUCCGACUUCGUCGUCUGAAGAUCUACAGACGGGUUCCUCGUGCGACAAACGCGCGGGACGGUGACUCGAGUCCUCAUAAGACGAGCCUCCUCCUCCCGCGGCCCUCGAAGUGUUUGUCGCCGCCGAACGACUAUUACAAAUUCAGACUUCGACCUGAGAUCAGACGAGAUUACCCGCUGAAUUUAAGCAUAU